rnacentral:rRNA from 1 species
CCUACGGGAGGCAGCAGUAGGGAAUAUUGCUCAAUGGGGGAAACCCUGAAGCAGCAACGCCGCGUGGAGGAUGAAGGUUUUAGGAUUGUUAACUCCUUUUGUUAGAGAAGAUUAUGACGGUAUCUAACGAAUAAGCACCGGCUAACUCCGUGCCAGCAGCCGCGGUAAUACGGCGGGUGCAAGCGUUACUCGGAAUCACUGGGCGUAAAGAGUGCGUAGGCGGGGUAAUAAGUCAGAUGUGAAAUCCUUUAGCUUAACUACAGAACUGCAUUUGAAACUGUUACUCUGGAGUGUGGGAGAGGCAGGUGGAAUUCUUGGUGUAGGGGUAAAAUCCGUAGAGAUCAAGAGGAAUACUCAUUGCGAAGGCGACCUGCUGGAACAGUACUGACGCUGAUGCACGAAAGCGUGGGGAGCAAACAGGAUUAGAUACCCUAGUAGUC